GAAAUAAUGAUCACAGAGACGAACCUCAGAAAUCAAUCAAUCACAAGAAAUGUCUCCGUCCGUUUCAAUAGCCGAUCGCCGCACCGCCAUCUCACGGAGUCGCUCCCCGACCACUGCACCACUGCUCUCUCACACCAUCACCGCAUCUCAAUUCAGGUUCACCAUAUUUCAUAUUAAAAAACUCAUGCUUUUGCUUUUUCCCCUUUCCAUUCAUAGAUUCAUUCUUCUAUGUGCUUUUCUUAACUUUCUGAUCUAAUACCAAUUUAUUUUGAAUAUUAAAAAUUAAAUGACACUUACUAUAUAUAUGAAGAGAUAAAUCAAUCAAUUUAAUUGAAUAGGUUAUGAAUUUAUGUAAUGUAAUUUAAUGUAAUGUAAUGUGAGGUUGUUUAAUUUUAAUUAUUUUCUUUCCUAUGUGAUUUUCUUUGCUGGAUGCAAUGCAACUUAUAUUUUUCAAUGUGAAAUUUUCGUGUAGAUUGUUUUUUUAUAAAGUCUAGGUCAUGUGGUUUAGGGGGGUGUAUUGGAUUGGGAUUUCAUGAGACAAUUUUGGCAAAAAAAGUCUUGAUGAUUUUAUGAGAUUUUGUUGGACUAUAUUGAUUUUGUGA
rnacentral:lncRNA from 1 species